rnacentral:lncRNA from 1 species
ACAACGGGAAGAUCCUCGAGGACACGAGCAAUUGCUGGCAGGCUAGGGCGGAACGUGAAACUAGAAAGAGCAGAAGCAAAGGCACCAACCAUGGAGAAGGCAAAGACGUCCAUAUGGAUGAAAUGACGGGACGCAUUCUUUAUCACCACCCGGUCACUCUCGAUGGUGAUGCAUGGCGAAACUAUCGUCAACACAAAACUGAAAACGACUGUUGGCAUGCAAUCGAUCAAGCUAUGGAGCACCGGUGAGUUGCUUUCUCUCCCAUCUGCAUCUCUCGUAUUACUUGGACUUGUCUGAUCACAUUCCAUCGACGGUGUUGAAAGAAAAUAAAAGGGAAAAAAAAAAAAUCACAGGAGAAGAAGUAGCAGGAGUCUGAUUGGAACUCAGCAGGGCCCAGCGACCUGCAAUCUUAAGGAGGGGGGAGAACUCCUGGUUUAUAAUAUAUAUAUGUAGAAGGGGGUGGGUUCUUCCUCAUCGCAAGAGGAAAACGAGGAGAAGAAAUUAUAUAUUAGCCGACACAAAAAUAGGAGCUAAAGCAAAGCUGCUCCCGUUCCCCAAGGGAGGAGGAAGGGUACAAACAAAACGAGCCACCUCAAGAUCCUCCCCUUCCCUCUGUUGUUGGUUGAAAGAAAAGGAUGCUU